UACAGAGGGUGCGAGCGUUAAUCGGAAUUACUGGGCGUAAAGCGUGCGUAGACGGUUUCGUAAGUCGGGUGUGAAAUCCCCGGGCUCAACCUGGGAAUUGCAUUCGAAACUGCGAGGCUAGGGUACGGAAGAGGGAAGCGGAAUUUCUGGUGUAGCGGUGGAAUGCGCAGAUAUCAGGAAGAAUAUCCGUGGCGAAGGCGGCUCUCUGGUACGGCACUGACGCUGAGACGCGAAAGCGUGGGGAGCGAACAGG
rnacentral:rRNA from 1 species